rnacentral:rRNA from 1 species
AUGCCCCGGGUCAAGAGAGGAGAGCCCCUUGCCAGAGGAAUCGCUUGGAUCUUGAGAACUGGCAAGAAGGACGCCUAUCUGGAGGGAGAGCUCCGCAGCAAAUGGGAAGAGUGGAGGGCAGAGUGGUGUUGGAUCGUCGAGGAGAACCCGCAGCCUUUCACUGCCUUGCGCCAAGCCCCAGUAGUGCGCGGCAAUGAUUGGAGCAAUGUGGCCCCGGAGGACGACAGGCUAAAGAUUGCCGUCACCCGGAUCCUUCGCCUCAGGCUUGCCGGGCUCACUGUAGGCGCAGUUGGCGCAGACUUUCUUCGCUGCCGCAUCGCCCCCCUGCAGGAGAGGAGGAGACCAGCCUGGGAGUUCCAAAACUCGGCGGAUAUCAUGAGGCUGCGCCCGGGCCUCAAUUUCAACUUCACGGUCUAG